UGCGGCAUAGCCAAGCGGUAAGGCAACGGACUUUGACUCCGUCAUCUCGCAAGUUCGAAUCUUGCUGCCGCAGCCA
rnacentral:tRNA from 1 species